GAUGAAUGUUCAGGUCAUCUGGAAGCACCCAGAGAAUCCAGCAUCCCUUAUUCACUGCCUCGAGAAGCCCAUUUUGCUCCCUCCCUGAUGGUUUUCUGGAAACUCCUAAAAACUAUCUUGUACCGGUGAGCCUUUGAGAGGGUCUGAUGGAAUCAUGAAAGAGGUAUCAGCAGACAAAUCCCUAGAUACUCCAAUCCAGCCUCAGAAUGAAAAUCUGCUUAGUGUCUGAACUGAGAAACUUCCUCCCCUCUUUCUGCCAGGGAGCACCUCUUGGAUUCCACAGCCCUUGACACCCACUGGGAUGGCUUCUUGAGUUACCUUGGGCCAGCCUUGAUUGCCACCAAAUGGCCACACUCAGUCAUGUCCCUCUUCUUGUCUUGUGGUGAUUGGUGAGGCUUUCAGGUCAGAUGUUGUGACUUUAUGCUGGACUGGACAGCUUUCCUCUACUGGACUGGACAGCUUUCCUCUGCUGUCCUCUCCCCUCCCUCUCUAGUUUUCACAUGGAGUGGUUUGGAAGCAAGUCGUUGCUCAUAUUCUGCAAGUCAAUCUCAGCCAGCAACUCCCCCUUUCCUCCACCUGCCUUCCUUCCUCUCCACAUCCAGAAGCCACAAGCCACCUGCCCAGCCAAGGGACAAGUUCUUUCCUUCCUAUGCUAGUUAUUUAGGUAAGGCACCACCAAUCUGCUAGCUGAAGAGGGGAAGAGGAAAGAGCCAGCCACAUCUCUCCAGACUGUGCCAGCCCUGCUGGAAGAGAAAUCUUGUUGCUGCUUAGUGAAACCAUGGUGAGACAACUUGUAAUGGGCCCCAGCUUGAUAACUAGUGGUUGACUUGGUGGGAGUAUUCCUGCAAUCAAACAUCUUAAAAGGCUGCCUGCACCAGCAUGGCAGGCAGCUGUCAAUAGGUCAACCCUGCAGAGGAAACACAUCAUGAGGGUGAAGGCAUCAUGAAAGUGAGAUCAUGUUUAUGGUUCCCAGCCAGAUGAAAGUAUGUUGCUUGAUGGGGAAGUGUAGAAGGAAAGUUACUGGUUGCUGUGUGGGUUGAGAGCCCAUGAUAGUAGUGCGCAUACAACCUGUCUGGAUGAAAGCCAGGAUGAGAGUUGGGGUGGGGUCCCUGGAUGUUUGAAGAUUGAUUCGUGAAUCCAGCUGUUAGACACAGGUUGCAUCAUCCAGAACAUGGUGAUGUUUUGUAUGCUAGUAUUCUAUAUUUGUGUUGAUAUUAUUCUUCUGAUUAAUUUAAGCUGUUAAAUUAGGUUUGCUUGUAUUUUAUACAAUAUUGAAUGGAUUGAUUUGUUGUAUUUACUUAUUGAUAUUAUGAUUAUUAAUUUUCUAAUAUUUUUUGAAUUGUUACACAUUGUUCGUUUGAUAUGUUGUGAGCCACUUUGGACACAAUUUUGUGGAAAAGUAGCAUACAGAAAUGAUGAUGCCUGCAAGGGGUGGCAAUCUUCCUCUGCCCCAUAUUCUUUCUACUCUGCUCCCUGUACUCCUCUCCCCACAGUACCUCACUUCCCCCCCUCUUCUCCUGCCCUCCCCAGAGGUGAAUGUGGCAAAAACCUCCUGUUCUGCUUGCUCCCUGUAGCCACUACCUCCUCUAGCAGAUGCCAGGCACUGUAAUGAGCAGGGCCACCUCUGUCUGGUUCUUCUCCUGCUUGCAGCCUGGCUGCUUCUCUAUGAGGCUGCUGCAUAAGAACUUCACCUGCCUUUGUUGCUGUAUAACCAUCCUCCCUGGCAAGAAAGGGGUAAGCCAAAAGAGCCUGAAGGUGGGGAAGAAAGAGGAGGAUCUCUCCAUCCCUCCAUUGCACUCUGUGGUGGAUGGAAAGGUCAUCUAGAAGCUGGGCAAUCACAUCAGAUGCAGAUGUAGAA